CCUCCUGCCCAACGUGGCAUGCACACCUCCUCCCAAGCCACAGAGCAGUGCCCUCCAUUAGCUUGAGCUUUACCGCACCACAAAAACCCUCUGAUUAUCUUGUUCAUGGCCGCUAUCGUCUUCAUGGGUAAGUCCAGAGCAAUCAUCGCAUGUAGAGGGAUCGAGCAGAGAACCAAGAGGACCAAAAUGAGUCUGCCACUUUUAGGUAGGGUCGCUGCCUUCCAGGUGGGCAGGCGAGUAGCCAGCUCCUCCACCAAUCCGCUUAGUUGUGCCGGGGGAGGCCGAGAUAUUUGCAUGGGAAGGAUCCAAUGCUGCAUCCCAGGAUACCCUCCACGCGCCCCACCUCUUCCUCCGAGCAUCGUAUUGGCAUGGCUGAGGUAUUCUGCAUAUUAACCCGAAGGCCGGACGCCAUGCCAUACAUCUCCAAGAUCCUUGCUGUGGUUGUUAGCUCGAGGUCCACCGGUUUGAUAAAAAUGAUCACAUCAUCUGCGAAGAUCGACAUUCGGUGCUCAAGUCCCGUGCGCGCCAAGACGUUUGGUCUUGACUUCGCGUAACAGGCUAACCUCAGCUAUUGAAAGUGAACUUGUUUAUAUUAACACUUUGUUGCGGCAUGUCUCUCUUUCAGGUCACUCUGAUCGUAGGACCCUGGUCAACGGUGAACAAUUCACUAAUGGGAAUACUUACAAGGUGCUCAAACACGCGACUUUCCUCGCCUUAAUCUCCAUCGACGGGUCUGUGGAUCGUCUCCUCUUCGCCUUUCGCUCUGGUGACCGAUGGUGGAGAGGGCCUAGUCUCUACUCCUAAUGUCUCAGUUGGUAGUCCGCAUUCCGGGGUUUAUUUUCGUCCCACCUAAUACGGUCUUUUUUGGUACUUCUUUGGUACUUGCUCCCACCUCCCGCUCAGCCGCAAAAAAACCGAAGAAAACCCCGCGAUCGAGUCCCGCAGACGCCCAACCUCCCUCCAUCAUUUUUUUUCUCUGCCCUCGUUCGCCCGCCGCCUCCCUUCGUCCCUUCGCCGCCACCCCUCGAUCUAUUCGCGACGCGAACGCCGCCGCCUGGCAGAUCCCAGGCGCUAGCCGCGGAUCCCUUUGCCGGCUCCGAGGGGUCGUGGAGGCGCCGCCGUCAAGGAAAAAGGAGGCGCCGCCGCCAUCGUUGUGGACCUCCGGGUGGCCAUCGGGACACCUCUGCUGAGGUACGCCUUCGCCUUCGCACGCUGCCGACCUCCCAGAGGAGACGCCGCCGCCAUCGACCUCCAAGAGGAGACGCCGCCACCACCUGCGCUAAACCCUAGGCAUCAACCACCGUGCUCCCGUCGUCUGGUUCCUCCUGCGUUCGCCACCAUGCGAUCGACUUCCUCCCUCAGGUUCUUGUACGGAAUAUACCACCAGACCCCGAUGAAUCAGUUAGCAAGCUUGUGGAACAUUUCUUCCUUGUCAAUCAUCCUGAUCAUUAUCUGAAACAUCAGGUAAUCACUAAAUUUUGGAACAUCUCCCAUUUGAAGAAUCAUCUGCAAAUUCAAAUGUAAGGAAGUGUGCAGUGCAAGCAAUUAUCAGGGUAAAUCUAUUUCUCAAUUAUGUAUUUUUACCACUUCAUCAGGAGUGUAAACUGAUACUAUUUCCAACUACAAAGUGUUGGCUCCCCAGGAAGAAGGAAAGGUCAGUCCAGACAUGACAUUUAACUCUAAUAAUGGAGGUACGUAGUGCCUACUGCUCCCUUGUCCCUUGCUACCGUCUGGGGAUGCUCGGCUCGCCAGCGAUGGGGAUGUUCGGCUCGCAGUCCCUGCUCUCAUUUUCCUCCAGCCUCUGGUAACCCUCCUCCUCACCCGCCUCGCCGAAGCGGGAUUCACAGGGAGCAUCAGGUACAUCUUAUGUGGGGAUGAACCAUCAGCUAAAGGGAGUGAUAGGAAAAUAUUUUGUUGAAUGCAAUGGGAAGGCGAAAAACGACACGCCUUGGCGAAGCAACUCUAAGAUUCGGUAAGGCUAAUCAAGUCUGCAAUCAAAUCCAAGAGCAGGGGCAUAGAAAAACGUUAAAAUACUUUUUAGCUAUUGAUUGAAGUGACUGGUAAUUAGUAGCAGGAGCAACAGUUGUAGUAAGAACCUAUCUAGGCAUAUUUUCUCUCUUUCCUAUCACAUGGCACAUUGAAUAACUUUAUAGUACAAAUACAUUCACAUAUGUUAUUUUAAAUUAUCAUGUCAUGGAGGUUCUCGUUAUUUCGAAUCUUUGGUUGGAACCUUCAUUUUGUGUUAUUAAAUGCACAUGGUAUUCAGUUAUCUCCAUUAUGGUGAGAAGACUUUGAUCUUGAUAUAUCAGAUUUAAGCCUCUUACACCAUAGGAGGUCCUCCUUUUGGUGAUAUUCACUCAUAUGUCAUUUUAAAUUAUCAUGUCAUGGAGGUGCUGGGUAUUUUGAAUCUUUGGUUGGAACCUUCAUUUUGCGUUAAAUUCACAUGGUAUUCAGUUAUCUCCAUUAUUGCCAGUAGCAACGCACAAGCACUUUCUAUUAAAUGCACAUGCUAUUUUCUUUUGUAUCAUGUCAUUUUGUGGUCAUUAACAAUCAGAUGGAUGAAACUGAUCUUGUUUUGUGCAUCAUGGAUUUUCCUCAACUGAAUGAGUAGAAACAUAAGUGUGUAAUGUAGUAGCCCCUCUAUUCCAUUGUUAUAAAUAUUAUAGUUUUUCAAUCUGCUGACCUGAUCGUAACAGCUGUUUAAAAGGAAGUGAUCACAUCACUAUUUAGAUUUUACUUUUUUUUUGUAUGCUUAAACAUAAGAUUAGUUUGUCCCCUUUCUUUUUACCCUUCAUGCUAACAUAAUAAAUACAUAUUUGAACUGAAUUGGUUGUAUUACAUAUGCCACGAAGGAUGUCGCCGCUUGAAGCUCGAUUUCCAUCAGCCCCUCUUUUAAUUCACUUGCAUUGUUUCAGCUUUGCAUUGUACUUCUUUGACGAAUUACCUCAUCCAAUCGGCUUUAAUUCGGAGCGUCAGUCUUACUAAUUAUCAUUGCCUUAACUUUCCAUAUGAACCUCUUACAGGAAACAAGAACUCCUAUUUGUCUGUAGUACUGCCCAUGAGACUCAACCUUGUUUUACCUUAAUUAUCAUGGUGUGCCUUUUUUUAUAAUAGCUCACCAUUUUGUUAGUGGCAAUAAAAUGCAUCUUUAGGCACACCUAUAGCGCACAUGUGAUGAUGUACAGAUGAAAGAAAGAUCUUAGAAGCUGAGAAGCCGAGAGCUGGAGGAACAAGGAGAAGCUAAAAGGACAGAAGAAGUCAGAGCAUGUGGAGCUGUUGGGCAAGCAGAGUUCUAUCUGGGUAUUUAGGUAGCUGAGGAUAAAAGGGAAAAGGAAAAUGUUGACGAUAUAGUUACUCAAUGCUGAGAAUGUUGCAUGCAUACUUUGUUGCCUAUAUAUCAUUGGCUUUGUAUUGAUCCAGGCAAGAACAAAUCAGACGGAACAAGUUUGCUACGGGUGGGUGUGCAUCAAGCUGCUUCGUUGCCGGCGGCGAGUAAUCUCACACAUGUUUAUGGCGCAUAUGUACCAGAAAAUUCAAAUGGUUCUGAUCAUACGUCCGAGGGGAAUCAGGUAGGGCUUGAUGCGCCUUUCAUACGAAAUGUUGAUGAGAAUUACCCAAGUAGUCCAGGUAUGAGGCUGUGCGGAUAUAGUAAUCAUAAUUUCCAGUGGCAUCGGCAUGUUCUAAUAAAUAAGAUGGGAAGUUCAGAAUAAUGUAACAUCGGCAUGUUCUAAUGAAUAAAAUAAGAGAAGGUUGGGGGCUUAGUAAUUACAUAGUCAGAAAAGAGGGACUGUGGUGGAUUAGAAGAUAUUUAUAUGUAGCUGCAAGCAUAUGUAUUUGGAUUGUCGGCUGAACAAUGUUUCAGCUGAAGAUCUCUGAAAUUAUAACCAUCAGUUCCUAAUAGCUUACAGCUGGUGUGAUGAGCCACACAACCGCUUGUUGUGAUGUACACUUGCCUCAUCGAAGCACAUAUAUUAUAAAUUAACUGAAAUAUAGUACCUUCAAAUCCAAUGUGUAGUAAAUGUACUAUGGUAUGUGCAGCAACAUCUUUUAGUUCAUCAAAUAGAACCUAGGUUCAUAUUAGGCUAGCCACAUAUUAUUUGAGCACACCAGUAACUUAACAGCAUGUCCAACAUCUUGAAUUGUUAAGCGAUGAGUGUUUAUGUGAUAGCAUGUCAGGUUAAUAAAAUCAGGUAGCAACCACAACCCAACAUCCUAAAAACGAGGUUACACGAUUACCAUUUGAAUAGUAGCAUUUUGGAGAAAGCACUAAUAUGCACUUAAAUUAUGCACAGAUGCAUGUCAGGUUGUUCGCUUGGUCUGCGCCAACGAGCAUCUCCUACAAGUCAUCAUCUCUCUCUUUGUCGGCUCCAUGUUGUAGCCUGCUAGGAGUCCUACCUUGCCAUGGAGCAUGUCCUUUGUCAUGGGUCGUACUGAGGACGCAGUGACAUGCAAGGCGAGGGAAAUUGAAGCCAAAACAUGCAGGACGGCCAGGAGUGUGCCAUUUUUUCUAUGACAGGGGGUGGUUCUUCAAUCUUCAGGGAAUCAAGCGGUAGCAUCAGAUGCUGACAUGCAUGGAAGCAGUAAACAUUGAUAAGAGUACAAGCAUUGGAGGAGUACUCACCACAUUCGAGGAAGUCGUCAUCAUGGUGGUGGUGGUCGAGGAAGUCGUAGGUGCUGGUGGCAUCAUCACGGAGCAGGCACCAUCUUCUCCUCGACUUAAAAUGUGGGAUGCAGCAACCUUGUCAAAGUAGCAUCUGUUCCUUUGUUUCCAAAUGUUCCAGGCGUCCGGGACUUUGAUUGCAUUGAACAAUGGGUGUGGCCAUGAAGACUUCACUGCAUCAAACAUCUCCUGAAGCUCCAAUGGUGUGGUGUUGCACAAAAGACAGGAGUGACUCCAAUAUCAAAAUGUCUCCGGUGGAGCAUGUCCCUUAUGUUGACUCUGUCCAUCAACAUCAGCCAGGUGAACACUUUAAGUUUCACGAUACACUUUGUCUUCCAGAUCAUUGUGAUGUAUGCGGGUGGCUGCAGUUCUCUGAAGAAGAAGUUGGUGAAUUUCUUGGGCCGAAACUGAACAUCUCCCCAACAAGUAAUCCAUUCAUCAGCCAUCAUUGGUUUCAAGUAGAGAUCAUUCAUAUGAUUCUGCAGAUAUGUUAAUUCAUGUAGCGCCUCGAUUGAUAGAGUGAGGUAAAAGUUUUUAGAAGCUUGUGGUCUGUCUUGGAAUUGCACUAUAGAAAUAUCCUCCUCCCUUGUGGAAGUGAACAUGUGUGGCAGCUUGUUGGAAAGGGGUUCGUCAUCGAUCGAAAUAUCUUUCCAUAGAAGAAUUGUGUCGCCAGCUCUAGGAAUGCAAGUUGUAAACCCUCUGUAUAUGUCCAUCAUCGAGAACACAUCGUUCUGUAUAUCUUUCCAUAAAAGAAUUGUGUGAAAAUUUCUUAAGCGCAACAACUAGAUAUUAAUUUAUAAUAGAAUUUUAGUUGGAUCA